GUAGGGGGCAAGCGUUGUCCGGAUUUAUUGGGCGUAAAGAGCGUGUAGGCGGCCAUGCAGGUCCGUUGUGAAAACUCGAGGCUCAACCUCGAGACGCCGAUGGAAACCGCAUGGCUAGAGUCCGGAAGAGGAGAGUGGAAUUCCUGGUGUAGCGGUGAAAUGCGCAGAUAUCAGGAAGAACACCCGUGGCUAAGGCGGCUCUCUAGUACGGUACUGACGCUAAGACGCGAAAGCGUGGGGAGCGAACAGGAUUAGAUACCCUGGUAGUCCACGCCGUAAACGAUGGGUGCUAGGUGUGGGAGGUGUCGACUCCUUCCGUGCCGAAGCUAACGCAUUAAGCACCCCGCCUGGGGAGUACGGCCGCAAGGCUA
rnacentral:rRNA from 1 species